ACUGUCUUGUAAUCCCUGCACCUCAAGAUAUUCAUCAACAGAAAUAUUAUGUGAAAGAAAAAACAAAAACAAAGCAAAAGGCAUAGAAAGGAAAUGGAAAAAUGACCCCUAAAGGAGAAAAGUAUGAAAAACUAGAGCAAAACAAGAAAAUGGUACAUAGACAGAUUAGGAAAUCAAAAUAACGGAGGAUAAAGAGAUGAUAACAACCUUAUAAUUUCGGGUGAUCCAUGCA